AAAACUUUCAACAACGGAUCUCUUGGUUCCCUCNUCNAUGAANAAACGCCACCGAAAUGCGAUAAGUAAUGUGAAUUGCAGAAUUCAGUGAAUCAUCGAAUCUUUGAACGCACAUUGCGCCCCUCGGUAUUCCGGGGGGCAUGCCUGUUCCAGCGUCAUU
rnacentral:rRNA from 1 species